GACAAACAAAAUUUAUACCCCGGCCUCUUCAAUAUUUUUUGGUUUUCAUUUGUUGUUAAAUUAUCAAAACGAAGAACUGCAUCACGUUAUCAAAGGAAGAAGUAAGUGUUUCAUUGUUAUCAAAUUUAUGUUUCUUGCAACAAUAAUAUAAAAGUGUACGUUAUCAAUCUUAUCCAUGUGCAACCAUAAUCAAUGUGAGUUUCCUUUGGCUUACAAUAUAAAUCUGGAUAUCAAUUUUUGAAUCUGUUUCUCUCAAUUAUAUUUUAAAAUAUUCUACUGCAUAUUUUCUAUAGAUGGAGAGAACAAAUGUUAAAGAAGAUGACAAGAACCUGGAACUCUGCUCAACCAUCUCAAUAUUUGAUGAAUCAUUGACAACACAAAACAUGAGAUAAAGG
rnacentral:lncRNA from 1 species